GGGUGGAUUUUUUCGCAACGAACGCAUGCAAUCUUCCUAACUAUACACUAAAACAUGUUUGGGACUGUUUUUGAGCAUUCGGUUCCGGCACGAAAAACGAUGCAAAACGGGUGCAUUUCGGCACGCGAAUGCACUAUUUCCGGGUAGCGAAACUCGGGUGGAUUUUUUCGCAACGAACGCAUGCAAUCUUCCUAACUAUACACUAGAACAUGUUUGGGAGUGUUUUUGAGCAUUCGGUUCCGGCACGAAAAACGAUGCAAAACGGGUGCAUUUCGGCACCCG
rnacentral:lncRNA from 1 species